rnacentral:rRNA from 1 species
AUUGAGACGAGUGGCGAACUGGUGCAGUAACACGUGGGUAACCUGCCCUUGAAGUAGGGGAUAACACUUGGAAACAGGUGCUAAUACCGUAUAACAACCAAAACCACCUGGUUUUGGUUUAAAAGACGGCUUCGGCUGUCACUUUAGGAUGGACCCGCGGCGUAUUAGCUUGUUGGUAAGGUAACGGCCUACCAAGGCGAUGAUACGUAGCCGACCUGAGAGGGUAAUCGGCCACAUUGGGACUGAGACACGGCCCAAACUCCUACGGGAGGCAGCAGUAGGGAAUCUUCCACAAUGGACGAAAGUCUGAUGGAGCAACGCCGCGUGAGUGAUGAAGGGUUUCGGCUCGUAAAACUCUGUUGUUGGAGAAGAACAGGUGUCAGAGUAACUGUUGACAUCUUGACGGUAUCCAACCAGAAAGCCACGGCUAACUACGUGCCAGCAGCCGCGGUAAUACGUAGGUGGCAAGCGUUGUCCGGAUUUAUUGGGCGUAAAGCGAGCGCAGGCGGUUUUUUAGGUCUGAUGUGAAAGCCUUCGGCUUAACCGGAGAAGUGCAUCGGAAACCGGGAGACUUGAGUGCAGAAGAGGACAGUGGAACUCCAUGUGUAGCGGUGAAAUGCGUAGAUAUAUGGAAGAACACCAGUGGCGAAGGCGGCUGUCUGGUCUGUAACUGACGCUGAGGCUCGAAAGCAUGGGUAGCGAACAGGAUUAGAUACCCUGGUAGUCCAUGCCGUAAACGAUGAGUGCUAAGUGUUGGAGGGUUUCCGCCCUUCAGUGCUGCAGCUAACGCAUUAAGCACUCCGCCUGGGGAGUACGACCGCAAGGUUGAAACUCAAAGGAAUUGACGGGGGCCCGCACAAGCGGUGGAGCAUGUGGUUUAAUUCGAUGCUACGCGAAGAACCUUACCAGGUCUUGACAUCUUCUGCCAACCUAAGAGAUUAGGCGUUCCCUUCGGGGACAGAAUGACAGGUGGUGCAUGGUUGUCGUCAGCUCGUGUCGUGAGAUGUUGGGUUAAGUCCCGCAACGAGCGCAACCCUUAUUGUUAGUUGCCAGCAUUCAGUUGGGCACUCUAGCAAGACUGCCGGUGACAAACCGGAGGAAGGUGGGGAUGACGUCAAAUCAUCAUGCCCCUUAUGACCUGGGCUACACACGUGCUACAAUGGACGGUACAACGAGUCGCGAAACCGCGAGGUCAAGC